CUACGGGGCGCUGCAGCAAGGAAUAUUGGGCAAUGGGCGAAAGCCUGACCCAGCGACACCGCGUGGGGGAAGAAGGCCCUCGGGUUGUAAACCCCUUUUAUCAGGGAAGAAUAAAAUGACGGUACCUGAUGAAUAAGCCCCGGCUAACUACGUGCCAGCAGCCGCGUUAAUACGUAGGGGGCGAGCGUUAUCCGGAUUUACUGGGCGUAAAGAGAGCGUAGGCGGCCUAUCAAGUCAGAUGUGAAAUCUCCUGGCUUAACUGGGAGGGUGCAUUUGAUACUGAUGGGCUAGAGUGCAGCAGAGGGAGGCGGAAUUCCCGGUGUAGUGGUGAAAUGCGUAGAUAUCGGGAAGAACACUAGUGGCGAAGGCGGCUUCCUGGGCUGUAACUGACGCUGAGGCUCGAAGGCGUGGGUAGCAAACAGGAUUAGAUACCCUGGUAGUC
rnacentral:rRNA from 1 species